rnacentral:rRNA from 1 species
UGAGUAGCGAGAGUAAGGUGAGAAUCCUUACGGCCGAAUAUCCAAGGUUUCCAGAGUAAAGCUGAUCUGCCCUGGGGAAGUCGGGACCUAAGGCGAGGCCGAGAGGCGUAGCCGAUGGACAACAGGUUGAGAUUCCUGUACUACAGUAUGACAGAACUGUGGGGACGCAGAAGGAGAGCACUACCUGGAAUGGAAUCCAGGGGCAAGCACAGGAGGGGUACGGCUGGAAAAACCGCCGUGCAACCCAAAGGUGUGACGCAUACCGAACUAAAGUAGGGAAAUGUGUGAGCCGGCUGCCGAGAAAAGCCGCUAUUGUUUGUACUGUACCCGUACCGUAAACCGACACAGGUGGAUGAGGAGAGAAUCCUAAGGCCGACGGAAGAAGCAUUGCUAAGGAACUCGGCAAAAUGACCCUGUAACUUCGGGAGAAAGGGUGCCUCGAAAGAGGCCGCAGAGAAUAGGCCCAAGCAACUGUUUAGCAAAAACACAGGUCUAUGCAAAACCGCAAGGUGAAGUAUAUGGGCUGACGCCUGCCCGGUGCUGGAAGGUUAAGGGGAGAUGUCAGGAGACGAAGCAUCGAACUUAAGCCCCAGUAAACGGCGGCCGUAACGAUAACGGUCCUAAGGUAGCGAAAUUCCUUGUCGGGUAAGUUCCGACCCGCACGAAAGGCGUAAUGAUUUGGGCGCUGUCUCGGCAAUGCAUCCGGUGAAAUUGAAGUGCCAGUGAAGAUGCUGGCUACCCGCGCCAGGACGGAAAGACCCCAUGGAGCUUUACCCCAGCUUGAUACUGGGAUUCGGUAUUGUAUGUACAGGAUAGGUGGGAGGCUGAGAAAUGGUGACGCCAGUCGCCAUGGAGCCGCUGCUGGGAUACCACCCUUGCAGUACUGGAUUUCUAACAGCAGCCGUGAUCCGGCUGGGGGACAAUGUCAGGUGGGGAGUUUGACUGGGGCGGUCGCCUCCGAAAGGGUAUCGGAGGCGCUCAAAGGUUCCCUCAGAAUGGUCGGAAACCAUUCGAAGAGUGCAAAGGCAGAAGGGAGCUUGACUGCGACACCGACGGGUGGGGCAGGUACGAAAGUAGGACUUAGUGAUCCGGUGGUAUUAAGUGGGAAUGCCAUCGCUCAACGGAUAAAAGCUACCCUGGAUAACAGGCUUAUCACUCCCAAGAGUUCACAUCGACGGAGUGGUUUGGCACCUGAUGUCGGCUCAUCGCAUCCUGGGGCUGUAGUAGGUCCCAAGGGUUGGGCUGUUCGCCCAUUAAAGCGGUACGCGAGCUGGGUUCAGAACGUCGUGAGUCAGUUCGGUCCCUAUCCGGCGUGGGCGUAGGAUAUUUGAGAGGAGCUGACCUUAGUACGAGAGGACCGGGUUGGACUGACCUCUGGUGCACCGGUUGUCAUGCCAAUGGCACAGCCGGGUAGCCAAGUCGGGAAGGGAUAAACGCUGAAGGCAUCUAAGCGUGAAGCCCCCCUCAAGAUGAGAUAUCCCCCGCAUAAGCGGUAAGACCCCUUGAAGACGACGAGGUAGAUAGGGCAGAGGUGGAAGUGCAGUAAUGUAUGGAGCUGACUGCUACUAAUAGGUCGAAGGCUUAAC